rnacentral:rRNA from 1 species
UACGUAGGUGGCAAGCGUUGUCCGGAUUUACUGGGCGUAAAGGGCGCGUAGGCGGCCUUCUAAGUCGAACGUGAAAUCCCCGGGCUCAACCCGGGAACUGCGUCCGAGACUGGAAGGCUUGAAUCCGGGAGAGGGAUGUGGAAUUCCAGGUGUAGCGGUGAAAUGCGUAGAUAUCUGGAGGAACAUCGGUGGCGAAGGCGGCAUCCUGGACCGGUAUUGACGCUGAGACGCGAAAGCGUGGGGAGCGAACUGG